rnacentral:rRNA from 1 species
GUCGAGGGGCAACGGGGAUGUUAGCUUGCUAAUAUCUGCCGGCGACCGUGCGCACGGGUGAGUAACGCGUAUGCGACCUGCCCGUCACAGGGGGAUAAUCCGGAGAAAUCCGGUCUAAUACCGCAUAAUAUCGUGAAGCUGCAUGGUUUUGCGAUUAAAGGAGCGAUCCGGUGACGGAUGGGCAUGCGUGACAUUAGCUAGUCGGCGGGGUAAUGGCCCACCGAGGCGACGAUGUCUAGGGGUUCUGAGAGGAAGGUCCCCCACACUGGUACUGAGACACGGACCAGACUCCUACGGGAGGCAGCAGUGAGGAAUAUUGGUCAAUGGGCUUACGCCUGAACCAGCCAAGUCGCGUGAGGGAAGACUGCCCUAUGGGUUGUAAACCUCUUUUGUCAGGGAGCAACGCCGGCUACGUGUAGCCGGACUGAGAGUACCUGAAGAAAAAGCAUCGGCUAACUCCGUGCCAGCAGCCGCGGUAAUACGGAGGAUGCGAGCGUUAUCCGGAUUUAUUGGGUUUAAAGGGUGCGUAGGCGGAAUGCCAAGUCAGCGGUAAAAUCGCGGGGCUCAACCUCGCUCCGCCGUUGAAACUGGCGUUCUUGAGUGGGCGAGAAGUAUGCGGAAUGCGUGGUGUGCGGUGAAAUGCAUAGAUAUCACGCAGAACUCCGAUUGCGAAGGCAGCAUACCGG